rnacentral:tRNA from 2 species
UCCGGGAUGGAGCAGUCUGGUAGCUCGUCGGGCUCAUAACCCGAAGGUCGUUGGUUCAAAUCCAGCUCCCGCUACCA